GCGGGGCGUUCUUCGAAGAGGGUGGGACCUGCUCGGCAGGCAGCAGCAGCAGGCCAGAGUGGAGACGUCGCUUUGGCGCUUUAUGAACGAGUCCCUUUAAAGGGCCAAAUGAUGUCAGGACCGGCAACAGGGGGAGCUGCUUUUGAGCACUUCAGACCAGCGUCUUCGCUAACCGUCACGGAAGAUGCCCACGACCGGGCAACGGGCUUUCUUCAGGAAGAUCCACGGAGCUAUAAAAACCCUAUAAUACAUUGACCGUGUUCUUCCACUGUGCAAAGCCGCCCCGAGUGGGUAAAAAGCGCAGGCCCGAACGAGCCUUACUGUGAGGGUUUGCCGUGCACCGCGGCAGAAGCCCAAUUACAGGCCUGACAGCCGUUUUGCCAAGCUUUGUGACAAACAAGCACACAUGCUCCCUUAAUCUGUGUGGGGCUAAUGACUAUUAUUAGCAUCUUUUAAUCGUGCCUUGGCAUGCCUCCCCUAAUGAAGAUGGCUUCUUGGCAGCCAGCUGCGAAGGAAGAAUCUACUGAUGGUGAACGUGGCGUCAUUCCGCAUCUGGACAAGGAAGGUUUUGCAGACGAUGGACUCCGGCGCUCUUGAGAGACACUCUGAUUGGGAAGGGCUUUUUGUUUUGUUUUGUUUUUAAACUCAAUACCUGCCUUUCUGCCUAUGAGUUUCCAAAUUCUACAUCUGGGCCGAACUCCCUUUGUUUUCAUUGGUUCCUCCAGAAUGCUGUGCUAGAUUAGUCAGACACAGUUCAAUCCUUUUCUUUUUAAGCUGCGUUCCUUCCUAGCUGAGAGGCAGGAAGCAGAAAUAACUGGGCUUGGGGUUGUUAAACUAAACCGGGCCUCUUCCUUGUUAACUGCUGUUCAUUUUGCUUAAUAGCGUUCUCUGAUGUAAUUUUUGUAUUUCAGUGUCUUUCCCUGCAUAUGUUGCUCCCUGUCUUUUUCUCCGUAUGAAAAGCAUGUAUUUAAAAAAAUGGACUUUGCUUAGAUCUUUCGUGUCAAAGAUCAUAUCAGAUCUUCCAAAUCUGGUUUAUGUUUUAAGUAUUUUAUAGUGUACGUUUUAUUGUAUGUUGUGACCUGCCCUGGAACUUUUCGCCAGGUAAAGGGUGGGAUACAAAUGUAAUAAAUAAAAUAAAUAAAUAAAUAAGAGCA
rnacentral:lncRNA from 1 species